rnacentral:rRNA from 1 species
AACGAACGCUGGCGGCAUGCCUAACACAUGCAAGUCGAACGAGGCCUUCGGGUAUAGUGGCGCACGGGUGCGUAACGCGUGGGAACCUGCCCUUAGGUUCGGAAUAACUCCCCGAAAGGGGUGCUAAUACCGGAUAAUGUCUUCGGACCAAAGAUUUAUCGCCUUUGGAUGGGCCCGCGUUGGAUUAGCUAGUUGGUAGGGUAAAAGCCUACCAAGGCGACGAUCCAUAGCUGGUCUGAGAGGAUGAUCAGCCACACUGGGACUGAGACACGGCCCAGACUCCUACGGGAGGCAGCAGUGGGGAAUAUUGGACAAUGGGCGAAAGCCUGAUCCAGCAAUGCCGCGUGAGUGAUGAAGGCCUUAGGGUUGUAAAGCUCUUUUACCCGGGAUGAUAAUGACAGUACCGGGAGAAUAAGCUCCGGCUAACUCCGUG